UACGGAGGGUGCAAGCGUUAUCCGGAUUCACUGGGUUUAAAGGGUGGCGUAGGCGGGCAGGUAAGUCAGAGGGUGAAAAUCUCCGAGCUUAACUCGGAAACUGCCUUUGAUACUAUCUAUCUUGAAUAUUGUGGAGGUAAGCGGAAUAUGUCAUGUAGCGGUGAAAUGCUUAGAUAUGACAUAGAACACCUAUUGCGAAAGGCAGCUUACUACGCAUAUAUUGACGU
rnacentral:rRNA from 1 species